UUGUUUUUGUUUUUAAAGUUGGAAGUUUCUUUCAAUUCAAACUCUGCCUGCUUUUAGAUGGCUCCUCCUGGAACUAUGCCUCAACGUCUCUCCUGAUACUUGGAUACUUUUCCUCUGACUGAUCAGGAUCCUGAACACCAGAGAGGGCCGCUGACAGGUCCAGGAUUACACUCUUAGCACCUGGCAGAAAGAGGAUUCACUACAUCGUGCUUCCUGACAUCUCUCCCUUUGAAGAGCAGUCAGAUUCCUGCUUUGCUCUUCAGACUUAGUUUGGGGGUUUAACAGGUGAGGUUGCUGGGGGAACUCUUUUACAAUAUCUCUCUGAAAGAAUCCAGGCUGCCAGUUUCAUUUGGUUUGGGAGUCAGUAGCAUGAUGGAAAGACAAAAAAACACAACUUGACAUCUGAAGAAAUGGGUUCAAAUUUUACCUGCAACUUACCAGUUCUGGGGCCUUGGUUCAGCAAUGAAACUCCCUAAAACUCAGUUUUUUCUUUUGUAAAAUGGGGUUAUGAACAGUACCUACUUCAAAAUGUGUUUGUGAAGAUUAAAUAAGUUAACAUAAAGA